rnacentral:rRNA from 1 species
AGUGAACGCUGGCGGUAGGCCUAACACAUGCAAGUCGAACGGCAGCACAGUAAGAGCUUGCUCUUACGGGUGGCGAGUGGCGGACGGGUGAGGAAUACAUCGGAAUCUACUUUUUCGUGGGGGAUAACGUAGGGAAACUUACGCUAAUACCGCAUACGACCUACGGGUGAAAGCAGGGGAUCUUCGGACCUUGCGCGAUUGAAUGAGCCGAUGUCGGAUUAGCUGGUUGGCGGGGUAAAGGCCCACCAAGGCGACGAUCCGUAGCUGGUCUGAGAGGAUGAUCAGGCACACUGGAACAGAGGCACGCUCCAGACUCCUAGGGGAAGCAGCAGUGGGGAAUACUGCGCAAGGGGCGAAAGCCUGAUCCUGCCCAACCGGGUGAGUGAAGAAGGCCUUCGGCUUGGGAAGCCCUUUUGUUGGGAAAGAAAAGCAACUCGUUAAUAGCCCGCUGUUCUGACGGUACCCGGAGAAUAAGCACCGGCUAACUUCGUG